UGGUGCUCUCCUGGGACAGCCCCAGGUGACAGCUGCUAGAGUGAGCCAGGGCAGUGGCUGCCAUGCUUUGUCCCUGGUUCCCUUUCCAGUUCAGGGCUGGGCUCAGCAAAACAGCCUACAACAUCACCCCUUACAUCUAAAUAUGGAGCAGAUGACAAGAGUGACCAUGAUCCUAAUCCUGGGUACUGGGAGCCUUGCUAAGACCACUCAGCCUAUCUCCAUGGACUCCUACGAGGGACAAGAGGUGAACUUGUCCUGUACCCACCCCAACAUUGCUACAAAUGAAUACAUCUUCUGGUACCGACAAGUCCACCUGCAGGGACCACAGUUUGUUAUUCAAGGUUAUAAGACAGACGUGGCCAAUGGAGUGGCAUCUCUGUUUAUCCCUAAAGACAGGAAGUCCAGCACCCUGAGCCUGCCCCGUGUUGCUCUGCAAGACACUGCUGUGUACUACUGCAUCGUGGCUGAUGCACAGUGAGUCAUCUGGCCCUGCACCUGUGCAGUAUCCCUCUGUUGGUGGCAGUCAUGCCUGUGAUUAAGCCCCAAAGCAGGGUUUUCUGAAACUUUCUUUUUCCUUUUUAUGAGAGUGUUUGUAAAAUAAUUCCUGUGCUAUUUAAACCUUUCUGCUAUUUAUUUUUAAACAGAUAUUUCAUUUAAAUGGAAAAUUGAAAAAGUGGAAUAAAAUUAAGGAGUAUGGGGCAUUGUGUUUACCCCACCAUUCUGUUGUUUAAAAAGAUCAUAUCUUUUUAUUCAUUCUUCAGUUGGUUGGCAUUUGCACUGCUUGCAAGAUUACAAAUUGUGUUACUAUAAACAUGUGUGCAUAUAUAUAGCUAUGGUAUGAUGUUUUUAAUUCUUCUGGAAAGAAAUCCAGAAGGGGAAUAGCUGGGUCAAAAAAUGGGACUUCUAGUUUUUGAGAACUCUCUACACUGAUUUUCAUAGUGAUUGUACCAGUCGGCACCACCACCAACAGUGAAGAAGAGUUCCUUUUCUCCCUCUGCCCUGCCAGCAUUUUUAUUGGUUGAUUUCUUUUUUUUAAAUUUUAUUUAAGGAGAAAAGAAAAAAAAAGCAGAGAAAGGGUACAAGUUAUACAGAUUUACAGAAAAAAAUAAACAGUAGGAAAUCACUAGUUAAUGGAUUACAUAUUGUCAUCUUAGAAAUAAUUGUUCAAGUCACAAAAUUAAAGCUUGUAAAGUGGACAUUCCAACAAUGAUACUGCAAACAGUUCUGUUCAAUGAUCCA